rnacentral:lncRNA from 1 species
UGCUGUCUGAGAAGAAUAACACCCUGUGGAGCUGACAGGAUUGUGUUUGAUCUUGGUCAUUGAAAGUGCAGAAGGAUACUGCUUGACAACAAAUUGCUUGGAGCAAAAAAUUGCUUGGAGAAGGUAUCCUAUAAGAUUCAGUACCUUUUCUGUAGGAGUCUACUAUAAAGAAGCAUCUGCAUAAAUAAAAAUUUUGCAGGAAACUUUAAACAAGAAAGAACAAGCCUUAUUUGUGAAUGAUAGUGAAGUAAUCUGGACCAAACUGAACGUAUUCAGACAGUACAUUUCCAGUUUGCAUCUACACAUUGACAACAACAACAACAACAAAAAAAAGAAUACCAAGUCUACACAGGCCUUGAGUGGCAGAUACAAGAGUGAUUAUUCUGUGUCCAACACAUGAGGUCAUCACUAAGAGCAAGAAUUUCCCAUGGGUAACUGGCAGAAGAUGAUCAUCCUGCUGUCAUCAAACACCUACUGAGUCACAGUGCUAUCCCGGCACCAUGAAAUUCUGUAUGCUUCAGAGGCUGACUUUUGCGUAUAAACAUAUCAUAGAUAAUAAUGAAAGGAGAGGAAAAUAAAAUUUAUUGCAACACAUCUCCUGCACUAAGUAUAUGUGUUUUCCUUCUACUGACAAGGAUUGUAAGGGGAACGCAAAUUCUACCUCUACCCCUCAACCCAGAGACUCCAUCUUUAGGAACAAUAGAAUAUAACAUCAUUUUCUCCAGCACUAAUUCCAGACUGUAAUCUUAUGGCCCUCCUUGGCUGCUGUGCCUGCUUCCUGUGGAGUGGAACUGAAAAUCUUGGCAGAAACUGAAAGAUAAAUGUGUUCAGAAGGCUGGGUGGAAACAGUUUUUCAUGCAAAAGUAUAAUAUAAAUGUGGUACAAUUUCAUAAGUUACUGAGACACAACCUCUGGAGGGAAUUCAAAUAACAAGCAAGGUGACAUCCUAAGGGAAAGAAAGUAUUUAAAAGAGUGAUAGGAGGAAAAUGUUUUACAAAAUCCUUUUUAAAAAUCUUGCUAUUAAAGGACAGCAAUACUUCACUCACAAAUCAAUCAAAAUUUUCUGGAGCCAGACUUGAGGAUAUACUGUGAAGAAAUGAGUGGUGUAGCAGUAAAAGAGCUUUAUGUAUUAGAGAAAAAGCUACAUUAUUAUUUUUUUUUUAGAUGAAGAAUUCUUUAUCUUCUUUUCCAGAACAAUAUGAAAUAUUUUAUCUGAGAAUGCAGAGAUAGUAGCAGCACCAGCAACACCAUUUUUGUCUCUUACUAAAGAAAGCAAAAUGGAGGAGAUGUCAGUCUUUCAUGUGGGGAAAUAGAAUGGUGAGAAUGGUUCUCAGGUUGGCUUGAGGUGCACCUAUGGCCACUGAGGGGUUACAGGUGCAUGCAGUCGCCCUUUGCAUCUUCUGAAACUGAACUUCCAAAUGUAUCAGUCCUUGCAAUGAAUUAAAACUGCUAUCUAUUUUUAUUUACAUCCAGUGCCUGGAGAUUUCAGGGUGGCUAAAUGGGGAAACAUCAAGCUCAAGAGAGAAGUAGGUGGUUGGUUUUUUUUUGUCUUUGUUGGCAUAUCUUGAGUUAAUCCUUACUUCUCCACAUUUUUGCUCACAGACCAGAGUCAACUAGUUCUUUAGUUGUUUAGUUCUUUAGUUGAAUUCUUAUCAGAAUUUGAGAGUGCAAGAAGGAAAACAAAGUGAAAAAAAAAGAAAAGGUGAAACUGAGUUUAGAGCACAACAACUAGUUCCAUCAGAAGGAAAACAAAAGUAAAAAGCCAACAUAUAUUAUUCACAGAUAUCUAUACACACACAAGAUAAUUAAAUACAGCAUUAAGAUAAUUAAAUAAGCAUAUAUUUAUAGAUUUUUCUCUUCAAGAGGAGAGAAGAAAUAGAUGUGAAGUGAAAUAGAAGUGUUAUAUUUACAUCCUCAGACACUGUGAAUGAUGCCUGAUAAGAAAGAUCCA